rnacentral:other from 16 species
UGGCAGAUGGCGUGCCAUAACUCUACUAGUGGGAUACCACGCUUGUGGACCUUAUGCCCACACAGCCAUCCUCUAGUAAGUUUGUAAGACGUCUGAUGACGUGUGGGAAAACACUAGAAAUAUUAACUUGCUGUAAAGCAUCCUACUGCCAGCGGAAUCACAUCUGGUAACAGAUGCCUCUGGGGCCAAAAGCCAAGGUUUAGCAGACCCUUUAGGAUUGGUUCAAUACCUGAGUUAAUAUGGAAAGUGCUUAGUACCUGCUGACUUGGUAGUAGUGCAAACACUAGUUGUAUGGCCCGCGAAGGAUGCCCAGAAGGUACCCGUAGGUAACAAGUGACACUAUGGAUCUGAUCUGGGGCUGGAUACCUCUAUCUUGGUGAUCCAGUUAAAAAACGUCUAGCGGGCCAAGCCCAGGGGGGAUCCCUGGUUUCCCUAUUUUUAUUAUUAUCAC